rnacentral:rRNA from 1 species
GACGAACGCUGGCGGCGUGCUUAACACAUGCAAGUCGAACGGAAAGGCCCUGCUUUUGUGGGGUGCUCGAGUGGCGAACGGGUGAGUAACACGUGAGUAACCUGCCCUUGACUUUGGGAUAACUUCAGGAAACUGGGGCUAAUACCGGAUAGGAGCUCCUGCUGCAUGGUGGGGGUUGGAAAGUUUCGGCGGUUGGGGAUGGACUCGCGGCUUAUCAGCUUGCUGGUGGGGUAGUGGCUUACCAAGGCUUUGACGGGUAGCCGGCCUGGGAGGGUGACCGGCCACAUUGGGCCUGAGAUACGGCCCAGACUCCUACGGGAGGCAGCAGGGGGGAAUAUUGCACAAUGGGCGGAAGCCUGAUGCAGCAACGCCGCGUGCGGGAUGACGGCCUUCGGGUUGUAAACCGCUUUCGCCUGUGACGAAGAGGGAGUGACGGUAAUGGGUAAAGAAGCACCGGCUAACUACGUG